AGUGAACGCUGGCGGUAGGCCUAACACAUGCAAGUCGAACGGCAGCACAGUAAGAGCUUGCUCUUACGGGUGGCGAGUGGCGGACGGGUGAGGAAUACAUCGGAAUCUACUUUUUCGUGGGGGAUAACGUAGGGAAACUUACGCUAAUACCGCAUACGACCUACGGGUGAAAGCAGGGGAUCUUCGGACCUCGCGCGAUUGAAUGAGCCGAUGUCGGAUUAGCUAGUUGGCGGGGUAAAGGCCCACCAAGGCGACGAUCCGUGGCUGGUCUGAGAGGAUGAUCAGCCACACUGGAACUGAGACACGGUCCAGACUCCUACGGGAGGCAGCAGUGGGGAAUAUUGGACAAUGGGCGCAAGCCUGAUCCAGCCAUACCGCGUGGGUGAAGAAGGCCUUCGGGUUGUAAAGCCCUUUUGUUGGGAAAGAAAAGCAGCAGGUUAAUACCCCGCUGUUCUGACGGUACCCAAAGAAUAAGCACCGGCUAACUUCGUG
rnacentral:rRNA from 1 species